rnacentral:rRNA from 1 species
UACGUAGGUGGCAAGCGUUGUCCGGAAUUAUUGGGCGUAAAGAGCUCGUAGGCGGUCUGUUACGUCCGCUGUGGAAAACCCAGGGCUUAACCCUGGGCUUGCAGUGGAUACGGGUAGACUAGAGGCAGGUAGGGGAGAAUGGAAUUCCCGGUGUAGCGGUGAAAUGCGCAGAUAUCGGGAGGAACACCGGUGGCGAAGGCGGUUCUCUGGGCCUGACCUGACGCUGAGGAGCGAAAGCGUGGGGAGCGAACAGG